UGGGGAGGUGGGAGGCACUUCUUCAUCUUCGGCUUGAGAUACAGGUUUUCCAAGCCACAGUCUUUUGGGUGGGCUUCAGGCGGUGUGGGUUUUUUUGUGUUGCUUUGAAGAAGGUGGUGUGCAUUUCCAAGGGAUGCUACCGCAAUCUCUGCUCCUUUGCUGCAACGCAGGAAUCCUUUCCCCAGUUUAAAACUGCCGUUGAACUCUUUCCCCUUCUUCCAGAGAUGCAGACAGAUAGGACCCAGGCUAUUUUCUCUUUACUUCAAUGAAUUAAUUAAAAGAAAUAAUUUACCGAUUGUAUCUUGCUACUAGAUAGCAGAUCUUCCAACAAGUCCUGGCUAAUAAGACUUAAGAGUAGCAUAAUCUCACUGUAACUUCAGGGAUGUGCUAUCUAGACGUGGUAUCUUUGAUUAGAUCGCAUUAGAUUAAUCUUUUAAUUCUAUUCUUUGUGCUCUACAGGCUUUAAAUCUCGGCUUGCUUCGUCUCUCACCCUGCCCCAUGUCACCAGCAGGUCGGCCAGGCUGCAGUCCUUAGCCCAGCUGAGUGACUUCGCUGGGCAUGGUUUUGUUUCCCUUCCCCGUCUAGGGCUGGGACUGGGGACUGGCUCGUGUUCGAAUGUCAGACGAGGAGCUCUAAGUUAUUGCAACUGAAUAAUCGCAGAAGAACGUAAAUAUGUCAAAGCAGUGUCAAGAGAUUUCUUUGCAGGGAUACCCUUAUCUGAGUAGGCGUGUUUUUGACUGCCUGACUGAGUAUAGUCUCUCUCUUGCUGGAGACCAAACUCUCCUUGUCCUAUUUGGAGGCAAGUGCUGCCAUGGCCAGUGGCAAUGCAUACUUCACCUGUGCUCCCCUGUGGCUUUGCCCUGACCCCAUCCAGAAGAUAACAGGGCUGGGGUACAGAAGAACAUCCCUUGGAGCCAAGUCUCGGGCUGUUAUUCACAGAGCAGUGCCAGAAGGAGAUGUAAAUUCAUACAUUUAGUGUGUGGCCCUUGCUGGAGCCAGUGCAGGGCCAUGCUGGAUUGGGACACCUCUUUGGUGGCUGCUGCCCCAGCAUCUUUCAAGCCAGAGGUGGCAUGUGGAUCCUGAGAGGGAGCAGUGAUGCUUGGAGUAGGAGUCUCUGCUGGAAACAGAGCACAAGGGGCAUCAAAAGGAGCCAUUAAAACCCAAGCUGUGGCUUGGAUCUGAUGCCACUGUGGACAUUUCUGAGGACCUGGAGUUUUUGGCUGAUGGGUUGCUUUGCAGAUCAGGAUGGCUGGUGUAGCCAGAGCUGCUGUGCUGGAGUGUGCUGUGCCUCCUUGCCACGUCUAAAGGCUGCACGGCCCAACUGCUGGAUGGCAUAUUGUACAUGGCAGACUGGCAAGCAGUGGUAACAAAAUGGUUUUGUCCCCCAACAAAGUUAAUUGAAUGAGAUUUAGUGUUGCUAAGAGAUUUGGACUGCAUCCCUCGAACUUCAGGAGAUUAGGCUGCCAAGCAGGAGGCACUGCAGAGGGGCUGGCCCCGUGCCAGUAAACAAAGCUUUAUCAGGAUGAUAUGUUAAUAUUUGUGUGCACUGUAAAAUUAAAAAAAAAAGGGGGGAGGGGCAGAGUGGUGGACUGCCUCAUCUGCUACUCUGGCAUAGAAAUUCCCAUUGAAGCUGAUGGUAACACGCUAAUGCUUCUGCAAAAAAUGUGAUUUCAAAACAGCUUGGUUGCAAUGGAAAACAGAUGCCUAAUGCAGUCCACCUUCAUCUGUGGCUCAGCAGAUCCUACAUGGGAAAAUAUUUGUCUUAUGAGAAGGCACAGAGGCCCCAGUUGACAUCAGAGCUGAGUUUGGUGGCGGGCUUCUUUGGGCUGCAGCAAUGCUGACUCAGCAGGGUGUGGAUGGAUACAGGAUUUCACUGCCUGGGCACCAAGCUGGCCAUGCCUGGGUUCACCAUCCCUGGAAAACUGUGUGACCAUGUGAGUGCAAGACUGCACUUGAGGUGGCGAACCAUGAUGAAAAGCUCAGCCUACAGGAAAGAAAGUGAACAAAACUGAUCAGAAAUGCAGGCAGUUGUGAGACUCUUGGUUUCUUUCACCUGACACAAUAUGGACAGGGAGAAUGCCAGGAGCACCACAGUGGAUCUUGCAGGCUGAGAAGGUGCUCCUGAAUUUCAUCUGAACUUUGGACAAUUCAAACAUCAAAGCUGGUGCCAAAGUGUAUUUUUCUGAAUUAAUUGCUGAAAGAAGUUAACAGGAGAAGAUAAUGGAGUAGAUGCUGAAAGUAAGAAACAACAGGAUGGUCAGGAGGCAAUUCCCUGUUGGCUUAGCUGGUGAUGUGUGCCAUGGUUAGAAGAAAUGUUUUCUGUAUGUGGAUGUGUGUGAGAUGUUUGAGAAAGCCCCUGGCAGUACUCCUGCCAGGUUCUGCCUUGCUUACUGCUAAUAGGUGUUCACCCUGGGGAUUUGGGGAAGUGGAUCUGAGGGUGCUGGAAGCACACAUGGAUGGGUGUGGAGUGUCCCCACUUCAGUGACUGCUGACCUGAGUCUUACCAGAAUCUGUAGUGCUAUUUUCAUCUGAGGACCACUGCAAAUGUGGUACACCUGGUGACCACAGCAUCAAAGUGUAGCAUGGACUUCUUUCACCAUAUGAAAACUGAAGGACCUGCAUAGAUGUUGGGAGAAAGGGGAAGACCUUGGGGUUUCAUAAGAUAAAGGGCAGCACAGCCCACAGAGCUUAACAGUUUUAGCUGCAGCUGUAACACAGGAGCUACAGCUUUCCUUUUUUUGCCAAUAGACAGGUAAAGCCUUGGCUGUGCAGAUCACACUUUUCUUUCUCUUCCAACUUACUGCCUGCUUUCUUAAGCACUUUGCCUAAAAUCCUGGUCCCAGUGAAGCAAAAUGGCAAAUAUCCCACUGGCUCCAGUGGGACAGGUGCUGUUUCUCAGCUACAGUGACACACUAGCCCUCUUCCCUGGCUAAACUCUGAACCUACACAUCCAGAAGUCACAUAAAGACAACACUGAGGUUGCAGGAAAUCCUUAUUUUUGAUAUAAAGAACAAUCUGUAGGCUGACUCAGCUAAACUUUAGAUCACUGACAUGAAGAGUAAGGCUUGGGAGCCUCAGUCCAGAGAGAAAUUCAAGCCCAGCCUGAUGAACUGCUGUCCUCUGUCUCUACAAGACAGAUCAGAUGUGUCUGCAUGGGUUUUAGUAGACCUACAAGACGUUUCCUCUUUGCCACCCCCCCACCUGCCAGCACUGGGGUGAGGUACAAGUGUGACAUUUGUGCUGUUUUAUAGCCUGCAAGCCUGCCCAACCCCUGAAAUACCCAGACUCCAGGAGAGGGGAUGAGGAAUGCAUCAAGCAUUUAUUGGCUUGGCAGCUGAUAGCUGGGUGAGGAUAGAUACUUGUGUGUGUCCCAUUAUCUGGCUCUGGGAAUAAGGUGGUGAUUCACUCCAAGUGCUUUAUCACAGCUCCACAUCAGAAGGGAACUAUACAGAAAACUUAUCUCAGGACUGUCUUGACUUUUUCAGAUUUCAAUAAUUAUGUGUAUCCAAUUGGUUGUAAGUUUUAUAUUCCUUUAAUGAGGCUUUUCCAUUUCAACAGUCAGUUGUUUGCACAGAAAAACUCCCACUUCAUAUUAUCUUUUAUUGCCCUAGGCUGCAUGUGUCUAAUUUUUCCUGUAUCCCAGAAACACUCUCUCCAGCAUUUUGGGAGGAUUCAGCUUGAGUGCUGACCUGCCUCCUUGAGUGCUCAGGAAACACAGAGCCUUGCACAGAGCAGCACUCUGUGCUGGCAUACAACAACAGGAGCUAGGAAGCCUAAAGCUAACUCAAAUUCAUCCUGGUGGAAACGUUAUUAUAGUGGAUGAACUAUAUCACUGAAGAAAAGCUGGAUUUAUCUCCAAACACCACAUCUCCCAACUCCAUAGGAGUUCAAAUGAGCUAAUCCUAGCAACUCUAAAUGAUGUAAGGCAACUUUCAGUCCAAAAGCCUUUUCUCCUGUCAAUUUUCUCCUGUGACUUUUCUCCAUUUGUGUGUCUUUCCAUGCUCAACUGGCAUCAGCAGCAGAGAGGGAGGAAAAUAAUAACUACAGCAGUCACUGCCAGAGCAAAAAGGGAAGUGUGCAACUUUUUUUUGUAAUGUCCAGAGAGGGAAAAACCAUGAGCACAGAACUUGUGUGCUGAGUUUAAUCUUAACAUUCCUUCUAGUAAGAACUUAUGUUGUAUUUAAAAAGUUAGUUGAUGAAAAUAGAUCUUAUAUUAAAAGUAUUAAAAUAAUAUUGAAAUUAUUUUCUCUGGUUUAAGAAACACCAGCUAAAAGUUUUUGUUCAUAUUUUUCUUUUUUGUCUGGGUUGCAAGGAUUGAUUUAUCUGUUCAAGUAAAAUGCUGGUACUGAAACCAUCACCAGGGCUGGCCCCUUGAAAUAACAGCUCUUCAUUUCUCUCCUCUGUGUUUGGCUGGAAAGGGGCUCCUUGGCUGCACAAGGAGCUCCUCACUGACAGCCUCCUUCUGCUGGGGCUUCAGGAGCUGAUGGAGUGAGGGGGAAUGGAGAAGCUAAGCCUCCUUCUCCUCUGGUUUUAAUGUCAUUUACGAAGAAAGUAUCGGCAGUUCUUAGUUUCACAUUUUGAUCUCAUUUCCCAUUCGGCAGCUCAGUACAGAUGUGGAUUUUCCAAGCCAUCUGAUAUGUUUGGAUAAUAAAAGCCUGUUAGGUCUUUUGGGAAAAAGCUGAUAUACAUUUGCCAGCAUUUUUAUAGAUGUUUUCCAAGCACAGUUUUCCAACUGAACCCCAGAGGAUGGGCAGGCUGAGAGCUGCUGGAGGGCUGUGUGCUUAUUUUCACCCAUUUUUAAUGUGCUUGAAAAAAGAAAGAAAACAAUGCCCUUUCUUUGUGACCAACAUCUCUAAAAUGAUUCAGUUCUGGGGGUUUUCGUACUGAAGACUUUCGAAUAAAAUCUUAGUUCAUAUAUUUUAACCUAGUUUUCUGUUUUUCUGCCAAAACAUUGAAAAAGUUGCGCUCUCUUCCCCAUACAUGAAAUUAUGAGAGAUUUUCACAUGCUCUGGAUCAGGAAAAGCAAAUUAAAAUCCUACACUAUGUGUUUUGGAAAGCCCUUGGAGCUGUCAGUUCCCAUGGGGAGCACCCAAGACAUGAACUACAGUGCAUUUUGGGCCACCUUGCAGACCUAUUGUGAGAUGGUUAUUUCUCCAAGGAGAUGUACCCUGGUCCUCUGUGCUGCAUGUUUGCUUCCCACUCCCUUCUGCCAUUCUGAGUACCCUUACUCUUUCUCUGAGAAAUAUCCUUUCCUUCUGAAACUGAUCCUUGUCCUUUCAAGUUUCUUCUCUUCCUUUGUUUUGAGUAGUUCUACAGAAUAAAAUAGAGGAAUGUGAAUUCCUCCUUCAUCUUUUCUACCUUCUUUCUUAUGAUAUGUUCUCCCACUGGAAGGGCAAACACAGUCUUUAGAACUGCUCUUCAUGAGGUGGAGAAGUUGGAUGCAAGGCUUUGCAUGGAUCCCAGUGCAUGUGGAUCUAGAAAUCACCAUGUCCAAGUGAAUCCAGGGCUCAGCACACACUGAUUUUUCAAGACUAAGACUGAAGACACCAUUGCUUAAUAAAGCUGUCUGCAGAGAGACCCUCUAGAGAACUCUCACUGGCCUCAGAUGUCAAAUGUCUUCAGCCUUGUCACAGUAGAGAAAAUUACACAAAAGCAGAUAUCUGUUCCCCAAAAAGUGGCUUUGUUUUGCUGUUGUGUGUGAGCUGAAAAGCCUCCUGUGCCUACAGAAGGAAGAUUUUUUUUCUUAGUACUCCUAUAUCAUUAGAAGAUUAUUCUCUUAGAACCUAAAAACAACAAAGAAAGUUCAAAUACUAGGCAAGAAGACUGUUACAGGUGACAUAGCUGUAAUUUGCUGACAUUUUAAUCAGCACAGUAACACUGAAGAUCAUGAUGCUCUGGCCUGUUUAUUCUUUCCUCAGCUGUUCAGUUAAUGGAUGGAUUAAUGGUAGCUGUCAAGCUUGAGCUGAAGGUACUGAAGGUUUUUGCAACACUGCUCUGUCCACUUGAAGGCAAGCAGAAUGGUUGGCUUCAGAAAAAUGUCAAUUAGAAAGCAAUUUCCAUGUAUUCACAGCUUACUCAAAGUGUUAUCAUUUUACCCAAAUGCUUUCUGUGCUGCUUGCUCUUUCAAUGCUCAUCUGUUUAUUUCUGUUACCUACUUUAUUGUAAAGUCCAAGAGAUCAGACUGUCUCCUUUUCUGUAUCCAUGCAAAGUGCUCACUGCAGUCUGGCUUUCCUUCUUGCAGGAAGUCCCUGCAAGGUGCUGCUGCGAUUAAUGUGAGCAUGGAAAAUUUGAAUAACCUCCUUGUAUCUGCUCUGAGUGAUGAAUGUGUGUGAGGAAGUCUCCGAGGAUUUUUCCUACAAUAAAGUAUUAUUUUUCACAUUAACAAUUCCAAAAUAACUGAACUUUGACUUGGACUUUUCAGUCCAUGUUUCCCAGAGUUUGUGUUCACUAAGCUGUUCUGCUGCUGAGAGUGAAAAUCUGGCUCCUUGAGCCUUGCCCAGUCCCAGGAAACAGUGGCCAACCCAAGCUGGCUUUUGCUGCUAGAUUUUGAGGAGCAGAUUUUUUUGUUUGUUUGUUUGCACCUCUAUAAACUUCCAUACCACACUAUAGCUUGAGCUCAUAUCUUCAAAAAGCAUGUGAAAAUAUUUCAAAUUAAUGAAGAUGCAUUUUACAAAUAUAUAUUUUUAGCUGGUCAAGGAAAAAUUGCUUAUUAAAAGACAAUACUCUUUUUACAGGUGUAUCACAGUGGUGGGGGAAGGCAUGGAUGUGGUAAAGCUAUUCACAUGUGCCACUGAUGCUUGAUAUGGGCCUCCCUGCUCACUGGGGAGAUAUCUGGAAGUUGUCAUUGGAGCACUUGCUCUCCAGAAGCCUUUCACCAACUCUGUUUGCAGCUUUGGAUGAGGAGUGAAUUCUGUGCUGACCUGAGUAAAACACAGUAUCUGCUUUCCUUCACAAGCUUCAUGAACUUCUCUCACAUCUCUAUAGCCUCUGAGCUAGAUUACAUCUAACCCCAGCAGCUGUUAAAUAAUCUGCACUGAGAGUGUUCAGCAUGACUUGACAAAGGACCCUAUAACCAGGCAUGGACCCUCUAGAAACCAGGUUCUAGUGGGCACAGCAUAGGAACAUGCACAUCUGGUUAAAACACCAUCAUGACUCCAAUGUGGUCCAAGCAGGCAACACAGCUCCAAGCAGGAGAUUCCAUUCUUUCCCCCAGGAAGCACAAAGCCUUGCAAGCCAAGCAGAAACCAAGUGGGUGGCACUACUUGCUGUGGUUAGGAUACUGGAGGACACAGGUCAGGGGGGAUAUGUUGUGCCUGCUGUUGUGCCUGCUGUUCACAUGUGGCACUGGCUAACUGGUCUCUUUGGGCCUUGGGUCUCCAGCUGUAAGAGGAGAGAGGAAUAGUGCCCUCUGCCUUAGCUGUUUGCACUUUGACUUUUGCAAUGGGCAUGCUACUGUACCUGAGGAGAUUCAGGACUAUUGUACCUGAGGAGAUUCAGGACUUACUCUGGGGACAGAAGCUGCAAGCAAGUUAAAUCAUCUUAUAAGAAACUAAUUUCAAUACAGAAAGGUAAGACACAAGAGUUAGAAUAGAAUAAAUUCACCUGAAAGCAGGAACUCAGCAAGAGGUUGGAUGGACUAAACCAACAGCAUUGCCAAGAAUAAAGAUAUGUCUGUUUAGGGCUGUCAGACAAUUCCUGUUGGGAUGUCUCCAUUGGUCAAGCUGCCACCCAAGCUGUGAAGAGGCACAUCUGGCUCACUUGUCUCCAGCCUGGAGCCCUGGCAAUCGCAGAAGCAAUCAUUGUGAUGUAGGAAGACCAUGGCUAAACUCUUCAUUUCCUGGCUGUUUUUUGCAUCCUCUCCCGGGCAUUUAAUUGCAUUCAGCACUGCAUUCCACUAAUGAAUGGAGCUGGCAGGAAGGGGGGUUCAUUGACCUCUCUCAGGAGAUGGUUUUGGGUGUGGGAGUCCUUGGGAGUAACUCACUAAUUUCAUCAUUAAAAUUGUG